rnacentral:lncRNA from 1 species
AAAAGACUGGGUCUUAAUCUGCCAAACCAUUAAUUACCUGCUUUCUUCUCAUUACUCAAGCUUGUGUGAAGCAUGCUUUCUAUGAAAUGGGACAAUGUCACCGACAGUAUUUUUACUAGAAAACAGAAACAGCCUUUUCUGUUUUCUUUCUCCUAGAUGAUAGCUAGAUCUUUAUUUUUUAAAAGCUGGAGACAAAAAGCACACGCUAGGUAAAACUCUUUGGGAAACUGCAGCUGGGGAAACUGCUGCUCCGGGAGCGAGCCGGGAGGCCGAGCAAAAACCUCAGACGCUCGUCCCCGCGGAGGGGGUAAUCUGCAGUCUUCUCUGCCAGCGGGGUGUGUCUCGGUGCCAGCAGCGCCCCCCGCGCCAGGCAGACUGAUCCUCCCGCCUCUCGGCAAGGCCCUCGCCUAACAGACCCACCGGCAGGGUCUCAGCAGCUGGGGGACAGGUGGGGGACAGGUGGGGCUCCUGGGACUGUGCACAAGCCAGCCGGUCUCCAGCAGCAGCUGUUCAGGUGCUCGUACUCUGUAAAAGAGCAAAGACAAGAAAAACACCUGGGGUGAGAUCCUGCCAA